GUCAAAAAUGAGCUGAGACUAUUUCCAUAUGGCAAGAUGAUAAAAUGUCAAGAUGGUGGGUCCAGGUCAAGGGUCAGACCUCCCAUUGCCCACCGUCCAGUGUCUGGAGGAAGCCACUUCAUAUAUCUUACCUGGAGAGAAGAUUUCACAGUAGUUCAUUGUUGAUCUGCUGCCAGUGUGUCAGCUCUAUUUCUGGCUGAGUCUUUGCAGGAUUGCAGAGGCACAAAAGGACAAACUGAGGCACCCGAAGGAGCGUUUUGAUAUAUUGCCUCAAAUUCAUGGCAUCCCCAUGCCAGCCUCCUCAGUGUUGGGAUUCCAGGUGAGUGAGUGUUACAUGUUCAUUCAGAGCAGCAGUUCUCAGCUUGUGGGUCUCCACCCCCACAGGGGCUGCAAAAUCCAUAUUUACA
rnacentral:lncRNA from 1 species